CUACUCGGAGACUUUUUCUCCUGUUCUGAAACCUACCAUCGUCCGAACUGUUCUUUCUGUUGCACUUCAUCGAAAUUAGUCCAUGAGGCAGCUUGAUGUUUCGGCAACAGGGUGGAUUUGUUCAUCCUGAUUUUUCAGAUUAUGUAUGCAAGCUUUAAAAAAGGUUAAAGCAGGCACCUAGAGCCUGGUUUCAACGGUUCAUUUAGCUUUCUAUUUGACUGUGGAUUUCUGCAAUGCCCCUCUGAUCUAAGUAUGUUAAUCUAUUCUACUAGUACAGGUAUCGAAGCUACCGUUUUACUGGAAGGAAUGCUACUUUCACAAGGCAAGUACACAAGGGAACUGUUGAACAUAUUUAACAUGCUUCAUGCUAAACAAGUAUCGAUACUACUAAAUAUAAAGCAUGAUUGGAGUAUUGAACAUGGUGAGCUGUGCGACCCAAAUGAGUAUCGUACUUUAGCAGGGGGACUACAAUAUCUUUCAUUUAUGAGGCCUGGUAUCACCUUUGCAGUAAAUCUUUGUUCUCAGUAUAUGCAUGUUCCACAGAUUCAUCACAUGCAAGCUGCAAAACCGAUAUUAUACUAUCUUGGAGGUACUAUAUAGUUUGAGCUUAUGCUUUAUCGCAAUUAUUUUGAAAAAUUGUUAGUGUAUUCUAAUGCAGACUGGGCUAGGUGUCAUCAAACUUGUUGCUCUAUGAUGGGUUAUUGUAUUUUUGUUGGUCGAAAUCUUCUUUCUUGGUCUACGAAAAAGCAACCUAUGGUUGCUCGAUCGACUACAGAAGCAGAAUAUCGAGCACUUGUUGCAGCUUAUGUUGAAGUGACAUAGAUACAACAUAUUCUAAAGGAUCUCGAUGUCAAAUUAAAUUCUCCCAUUACAGCUUACUGUGAUAAUAUAGGGGCAACAUAUUUGUUUCAAAAUCUAGUUAUGCACUCUCAAAUGAAGCACAUUGAUAUAGAUUAUCAUUUUGUUCGUGAAAAGGUAGCACUAGGUGAUAUGGAAGUCCGACACAUUCCGACUCAUAAUCAACUUGCCAAUGUUCUCACCAAAGACCUCACUGUUGCAAAAUUUUCUACUUUUGUUUUGAAUCUAAACGUUCGUUCCUCCCGCCUAGAUUGAGGGGGAGUGUUGGUAUAUAUUAUAUAUCUUAUUACUUGUGGAUAUUUUUGUAAUAGUUGUACUUAUCUUGCUAUAAAUAUACAUUAAUCAUACCCUAUUUGGGUUUGAGGUCCCAUAAUCUAAUAAGGAGAACUAUACGAGAUCUGGUGGUCGAACUUUGGUUUCUACAAGUUUGGUUUCGGUUAUGACCUUUCGAAACUGUUUAGUCCUCUAAAUUUGCAGUCAAAAGUGGCCUUUCCAAUUCUAGAAGAAAUUUUUCACUGUGAAUGUCUUUGUCUUUUGAUCCCUAAAGGCGUUAGAGAUUUGAAUUGUAGUUGAUUUUGAUGUACUCGAGAUGCUUUCUCUGAUAUGAUGAAUUUUGGCUAACUUCCGAUUAAAGUAUGCUACCCAGAGCUAUACUCCUAAUUCAAUUAGGGUUUUGAUUUAGAUCUACUUUUUAGUUUUAUCUAUUAUUAUAUCAUGUUGUUGGAUGAUACUUGAUUCGCAGAGCGGUUUAUAUAGAUCAUCGUGAUAUCAUACAUGCUUAGUUACUAUACACGUCGGCUUAAUUUUGUGUUCCUCUUCACAUGCUUCAUGAUCUUCAAGUAUGAACUUUGUCGUGUUGGAAAUAUGAUAUGUAGAGUAGGAUUGGAUGACACAUAAUUACUCUUUUAUGGGUUUUGUCCUUAUUGGUUGGUUACAUUCGAUUAUGAAUAUGGCAUAUGAUUGACCUUCUAGUUGGCUUAACUCUAUUUGUGUUUUGACCUUUGUGGUCGGCAGAUUGCUCCUCGUAAACCUUGCGGCUUUCCUCAGCAAUUCGAUUAAUUAAGCAUACAGCAGGAUCCGCCACUGCAUGAUGCGCAUUCACGUGCAACAUUUUGAUUUAGCCAUCGACAAUAGAUGUUCUUUUCUUGGAAAAGAGAUCAAAAGUGACUAGUAAGUCAUGUUCAUGCAGUGCGGCUUUUGCCUGAGGUCUAUAGACCCAUAGGGCAACUGUGGAUUGGGUAUAACUUGGACUCAUCGUCUGGUUCAUACAUGCAUUAAAAUGAAGACUUUGUUUACGUCACAAGACCUUGGGAUUUGGUUGAGAAUGGAUAUGCAAAUCCCGAUGAAGAAAUAAAGUUGAAGGAAAAUAGAAAGCAGGAUUCCAAGGCACUACUAUUUUUCAUUCAACAAGCAGUUCAUGAGUCCAUCUUCUCAAGAAUUGCUAUAGCAACUACGGCAAAAGAAGCUCAGGAAAGGAGUUUCAGGGGUCAUCAAAGGUAAUUUACUGUGAUAUUUUAGCCUCUUUGUCGAGAUUUUGAAACUUUGCUCAUGAGAAACAAUAAAUCGCGACAAGAAUUUUUAUCUAGAGUUACAUUUGUUGUUAACCAAAUAAAAUUGUAUGGUGAAAAGAUUUCUGAAGAAACAGUAGUUGCAACAGUUUUGAGAAGCUUGACUCCAAAAUAUGAUCAUGUUGCUGCUGCAAUUGAGGAAUCUAAGGAUUUAUCUGUUUUUUCAUUUCAUGAACUAAUGAGUUCUUUGCGAGCUCAUGAUGCUAGAAUGAACAGAUCGACUGAAAAUGUCGAAGAGAAGGCAUUUCAGGUGAAGGGGAAGACUUUUACACAAAAAAGAUAAGUCUGAUAAUUUUGUAGCAAGAGGUCGAGGGAGAGGCGGAUUCCGUGGCCGAGGUCAUGGUCGAGGCCGACGUCGGGGGUGAUUUGAUGAGCAACGACAAUCGUUCAAUGAGUAUUGAGGCAACCGGAGUGGAAUCCAAUGCUAUCAUUGCAAGAAAUUUGGGCACAUCAAGGCAAAUUGUUGGAGCAAAGAAAAGCAUGCAGCUAACUAUGUAGAAGGAAAAAAAAAGAUGAAAGUAAGUUGUUCAUGGCUUGUUAUCAUGUUAAUAAUGAAUUAAAUGAAGUUUGGUUUUUAGAUAAUGGAUGUCCUAACCAUUUGUCUGGAGUGAGAUCUAUAUUUCAAAAUUAAUCUUGAUGAAUCACAGAAGAUGCAAGUUAGUCUUGAAGAUGAUAAACAAGUUCAACAUGAAGGAAAAUGUACAAUUACGGAAAAAACAAGCCAUGGUAAAGUAAAGCAUCUUUGUAAUAUUUUCUAUGUUCCUAGUUUGGCGCACAACUUGUUGUUGAGUGUUGGGCAGUUAAUGAACAGUAGUUAUUCUAUUUUGUUUGAUAAUGCCUUAUGUACUAUUAAAGAGAAAAGUUCAGAGCAAAUUAUAGUUAAUGUUCAAAUGAUAGCAAAUAAAAUAUUUUCACUCAAAAUUUCGAGUAUUGAUAGGCAUCCAUUGACUGCUAGCUUAAAGAAUGAGUCUCUUUUGUGGCAUUUACGAUAUGGGCAUCUAAAUAUAAAUGGUUUGAAGUUGUUAAAUAAAAAAGAUAUGG